rnacentral:tRNA from 1 species
GCAUUGGUGGUUCAGUGGUAGAAUUCUCGCCUUCCGUGAGGGAGACCUGGGUUCAAUUCCUGACCAGUGCA